rnacentral:rRNA from 1 species
UACAGAGGGUGCAAGCGUUGUUCGGAAUUAUUGGGCGUAAAGGGCGCGUAGGCGGCUUUGCAAGUCGGGUGUGAAAUCCCCAGGCUUAACCUGGGAACUGCAUUCGAGACUGCAUUGCUAGAGUAUGGGAGAGGGAAGUGGAAUUUCCGGUGUAGCGGUGAAAUGCGUAGAUAUCGGAAGGAACAUCAGUGGCGAAAGCGACUUCCUGGACCAAUACUGACGCUCAUGUGCGAAAGCGUGGGGAGCAAACAGG